CACUCCUCCAGCACAUUAUUUUUGUAUUCACGUCAGCACAUCAUAAAUCACAAGGGAUUAUCGCCCAUUGCCUUCAUUAGGGAGGGGAGCUGCAGGAGAAAAAACACCUGAGACCACUGGCACCUUUUCUCAAAGCCCGACCUGAACCUGCCUCGUGACUGUGGGAGUGUUAACACAACAGAAUGAGGAUAACUCAUCAAGUGACUCUAAUGCUGCUUUUAGUAACCUGGUACGGGAGCACGCGUUGCUUGGGAAUUACAGUGGAUCCUCCUGAGCACCUUGUGAUAUCGGACCCCGGUCAUCUCGGACACCUCCAGAUUAGAUGGAGCCCCCCAGCCAGCUUGAUGAAUAAUACAGAGUGCUCCAAGCUGUAUCAGCUGGAGUACUUCGACACAAACACGAACAGCUGGGAUGCUAUCAGGACGCCUAGGACGGAGUACAGUGCCCAGUUCGAUCUGAUGAAAGAUGUGAGCGUGCGAGUGUACACCGUGCUGAAUGGACCCUGCACCAAUGGCACAAUGAUCAAGAGCAGAGACUACGCUGCACUGGUCCAGAAACCUUCCAGCACAGGUGUUAAGGGGACAGCAGUCCGGGAUUUUGUCUGUGUCUAUUAUAACAGGCAGCACCUGAAGUGCAAGUGGGGAGAAAACCCAAAGAUGUCUGCCAAGUCACGGCAGAACCUUUAUUUCUGGCACAAAGGGCUGGAAAAGGCGGAUGAAUGCCCGAAAUACCUCAUCUCCAACGGAGUCAGGAGCGGCUGCGACUUCACCGGAAAAGCCCUUCCGGAGUUCAGUGAAAUCAACUUCUGUGUAAAUGGCUCCUCUCCCGAAGGCCCCCUGAUGACUACCUUCAUCUCCCUGCAGAUCCUAAAUCACGUGAAGCCUGAAACUACAACGAAAGUGAAUCUGCAAACAGGUCCUGGCAAACGGCUAGAAAUACAGUGGGAAAGUCCAGCUGGAAACAUUCCUGUACACUGUUUAGAAUGGGAAGUGGAGCACGAACAAGACGGACCCGAUGGGAAGAUUGCUACGCAGCAGAUUACAACCAAGGAGAUGAGCCUGACGCUGACCUUCGACCGCGACGAUCGGAGGAACUGCUUCAGGGUUCGGUCCAAGCUGCACAAAUACUGUGCAAACAAGAGCCUGUGGAGCGAGUGGAGUCGCCCGACGUGCCACCCAGGUAACCAUCUUUCAAUUUCCUAAUAACACUGCAGCAAGACCAAUAUAUGUGUUUUUUGUCAUCACAAAGAAAACCUGAAAAUGUCAAUUCCAGCAUGAAAUCAGCUCUGAAUGUGAUAAACAGGUUUGUUGUGAAACUCGCUAAGACGUUCUUUGUGAUAUAAGUAGUAAAGUCCCACAGACCGGCAUUUAAAAAAAAGGAAAAGAAAGAAAAGUACACCGACGAGUCCUCAUGAGCUGCACACUUCUUUGGAGUCCCUCCUGGAAUAAUAAAACACGACUGACCAGGCAGGAUGAAGGAUCAUCUUCUAUAUACAGGCUUCAGAGAGGAUUGGCCGCAUGCUGCACUCACUGUUAAAUGUUUAAACUUGAUAAGUGCAACAGCACUAGAAAUCUGUUUUUGUGCUUCAAACACGAGACAUCCAGUGCUCUUCAUUAAUAUUUGUGUUAAUUUAUUUCAAGCAAUUUUAAUCAUUUCCAAUUAGUAUGGAAAUACGUAUCACUUAAAGAACCUUAAGGUUCUCCAUUGGUCUCCAUUUGUAAAUCUAGUUUUAUGUUGAUGUUUAUGUUAAUAAUGUAUCUUUGGAGUACAGAACACAAGUAUGGCUUCAUUACACUAAUAGCUUCUGAAACAGGUAAACAGAGAAUUGUAAAAGUAAUGAAAUUCACAUAUUAACUUAGUUUUUAUUGUUAACAUGAGGUUUUGGUCACUGGAGGUGUAAAACUGUAUUUUUGAAGCUAAUAGCCAACAAGUAUAGCUAUUUUUGAUAAUGUAUCUAAUCCGAGUGCAUGAGUGAUUUCUGGAGCUCUGAGCUCAUUAAAACGAUAUAUUGCACUGUACUGACGUCAACGUUUUGUUUCGCAAUUCUUGUUUGGACCUCGUAUUGGCACCAAUGUAAAACAUAUAUGGUGUUUUUUGGAAUUUAAUUUUGCUUUCUUGCCAAAUGUACAACCUGUUUGAACUCACAUUCAAACCAAAACUGAGGGAAUGGACCAAAACCAUCUGUAGGUUCAGCUUGAUAUAUUAAAUAUAUUGUCAUUCUGCAUCAAAGCAUCACCAUGUCUUUAAAAAAAUAGUGUUUGAUCAAA